rnacentral:rRNA from 1 species
CCUACGGGAGGCAGCAGUGAGGAAUAUUGGUCAAUGGGCUUACGCCUGAACCAGCCAAGUCGCGUGAGGGAAGACUGCCCUAUGGGUUGUAAACCUCUUUUGUCAGGGAACAAAGGCGGGGACGUGUCCCCGGAUGAGUGUACCUGAAGAAAAAGCAUCGGCUAACUCCGUGCCAGCAGCCGCGGUAAUACGGGGGAUGCGAGCGGUAUCCGGAUUUAUUGGGUUUAAAGGGUGCGAAGGCGGUCUGUUAAGUCCGCGGUCAAAGCCCGGGGCUCAAACCCGGCCCGCCGUUGAAACUGGCAGUCUCGAGUUGGAGAGAAGUAUGCGGAAUGCGCGGUGUAGCGGUGAAAUGCAUAGAUAUCGCGCAGAACUCCGAUGGCGAAGGCAGCAAGCCGGCUCCACACUGACGCUGAGGCACGAAAGCGUGGGUAUCGAACAGGAUUAGAUACCCUUGUAGUC